GCGAUUCAAAGCUUGGGUAGGUGAUCCUGCACUCUCAGCCUGUUGGCGUUUCUCUCCCUCAUUGUUUUGACAAGGAGACAAGCCCUACAUUUGCCUGAUUUCUGAAGUGUGGUGAGGAGCUGGCCAUGGAGCUGCAAACAGAUGGCUGUGGAGAAGUGAGAAGCUGGCGAUGCAAAGCUUGGCUGGGUCUUCGCAGAUACCAAACAAGGAAAGCACACCUGGAAGCCGCAAGAGAAUGCAACAUUUCCAAAUGUGUUUUCAUUCUGUGUUGGAACAAAAUGAAAAUCUUUUGCCAAAAGGAGAGAGAAUGAACAGAAGAGAGAGUUGAAUAAUGUUACAGAAGGCUUGUGCGAAAAACACAACUGGUCAAGAAGAUAUAAACAACAUUUAAUUGGGAAGAGUAUGGUCAUAUAAGAACACAACAUAGCAUGAUUGGGAGCAGGUAGCUGGACUGCAAAAUAUCCACUCAGCUAAAUUGAUACCCUAAGUGGCGAUCUGGAGGAAGCCCACAGGCCCAAUUUUCCUGAUGAAUAUGGGGAAGAACUUUGUCAUUCUGCAGUGGGGAAUUAGACAAGAAGGAUCCAGGAAAGGAUCUGGGCAAAAGUGCUGUAAAACAGAAUUAAGAGGCAUGAGUAGCCUUUGGAAUAGUACUGUUUUUCUUAAAUUUCAAGAGAAAAAUCUUUUUGGUUUUCCUUUAGGAAGAAACUGACUUUUGUUGACAUAUUAUAUAGUCAAACAAAGACCAAAGACCAAACUGUAAAA